UACGUAGGGAGCAAGCGUUGUCCGGAUUUACUGGGUGUAAAGGGUGCGUAGGCGGCCCUGCAAGUCAGAAGUGAAAUCCAUGGGCUUAACCCGUGAACUGCUUUUGAAACUGUUAAGCUGGAGUACUGGAGAGGCAAGCGGAAUUCCUAGUGUAGCGGUGAAAUGCGUAGAUAUUAGGAGGAACACCAGUGGCGAAGGCGGCCUGCUGGACCGCGACUGACGUUGAGGCUCGAAAGCGUGGGGAGCGAACAGG
rnacentral:rRNA from 1 species